ACAUGCAAGUCGAACGGUAACAGGGAGCUUGCUCCGCUGACGAGUGGCGAACGGGUGAGUAAUAUAUCGGAACGUACCCAAGAGUGGGGGAUAACGUAGCGAAAGUUACGCUAAUACCGCAUACGAUCUAUGGAUGAAAGCAGGGGACCUUCGGGCCUUGUGCUCCUGGAGCGGCCGAUAUCUGAUUAGCUAGUUGGUGAGGUAAAGGCUCACCAAGGCGACGAUCAGUAGCUGGUCUAGAGGACGACCAGCCACACUGGAACUGAGACACGGUCCAGACUCCUACGGGAGGCAGCAGUGGGGAAUUUUGGACAAUGGGCGCAAGCCUGAUCCAGCAAUGCCGCGUGAGUGAAGAAGGCCUUCGGGUUGUAAAGCUCUUUUGUCAGGGAAGAAACGGCUGUGGCUAAUAUCCACGGCUAAUGACGGUACCUGAAGAAUAAGCACCGGCUAACUACGUGCCAGCAGCCGCGGUAAUACGUAGGGUGCAAGCGUUAUCGGAAUUACUGGGCGUAAAGCGUGCGCAGGCGGUUUUGUAAGUCUGUCGUGAAAUCCCCGGGCUCAACCUGGGAAUUGCGAUGGAGACUGCAAGGCUAGAAUCUGGCAGAGGGGGGUAGAAUUCCACGUGUAGCAGUGAAAUGCGUAGAGAUGUGGAGGAACACCGAUGGCGAAGGCAGCCCCCUGGGUCAAGAUUGACGCUCAUGCACGAAAA
rnacentral:rRNA from 1 species